UUUUACAUUCUUUUCUAGGAGUGAGUGUUUGGUUUCUGCUCUGGAGGUGCUUGAGAAGGGCAAUAGAUCUUAUCUCCAAGUCUUAUUUUCUAAAGAGGAUCCAAGCCAUCGAUACGCAUGAUCUCCAGCAUCCCAGCAGCCAUUUCCUGCUGACCGCGGAGCAGGAAGAGCACGUGACCCUGGCUGGAGCCGGCAAGAGGGUGGAGAUGAUCAGAAAUCCUUUCACUGUCAAAUUCAGAGAAGAAACAUGCUGAGAAGAGGCAUUUCCUAUGCCAGGGCUACCUGUGCCUUGAGGAAUACAUGUAGGAGACACUAUUUGAAAAGGUAAAUCAUUUAUCAAAUUCUAGGGGAAAAGUAUUAGGAUAGGAUAGAGUGGCUUGUGGAAAACUGAGAGGGAAAUUCACCUCAGAAAAUGGGAGGUUUAUUUAAAGCAGAAAAUUACAAUAGUAUUAUUUUAGAAAGAGUGUGUGUGUGUGUGUGUCUAUACCUUCAUUAAUACUAAGUACUCUUCAGAACACUAAAUAUGAUCUUCCCAACCUUAAAUUCAGAAGGGAGCCAUUUCCCAGUUUAUUUCAAACAGCCCCAAUUAUCAGAUAAAUAUUUUUUCUAAGUCGCCACCUUGGUGGAACAACCAAAGCAGAGAUAAUGCUGGGCCCUCUAAUCAACUGAACAGUGGCUUCAAAAAGAUAGAUCAAAGUUAUAAUCUCCUGCAACUGUGCAUGUGACUUUCUUUGGAAAUAGGAUCUUGCAGGUGUGAUGAAGGCAAGGAUUUUAAGCUGAGAUCAUCCUAAAUGUGGAUGGGUGAGUCCUACACCUGAUGACUGGUGUGCUUCUAAGGGAAACAAAAGGGAAAUGUAACACAGGGACACCUGGAAGGCCAUGUGAAGGCGAAGGCUGACAUUGGAGUUAUGUUGCCACAAGCCAAGGAAUGACAGGGUUGCUAGCAACCACAAGAACUGAGAAGACAGCCAUGGAACGAAUUCUUCCUCAGAGCCUCCAGAAGGAACUCACCCUGCUGACACUUUGAUUUCAGACUCUGGCCUCCAGAACUGUGAAAGAACAACUGUGUGCUGUUUUAAGCCACCCAGUUUGUGGUAAUGUGUUACAACAAUCCAAGGAAACUAAUAGAAACCCCACGCCUUUGGUCUGAGCAUAGAAGUAAAUUGGAAAUGAUUUACAUUGCCUUGA